rnacentral:miRNA from 1 species
AAUACUAGGCUGGCCAAAAACUUUGUUCAGGUUUUUUCAUAUGAUGGUAUAGACAAACCUGAACAAACUUUUUGGCCAACCCAGUAU